AGGGAAACCGAGUCUUAACUGGGCGUUAAGUUGCAGGGUAUAGACCCGAAACCCGGUGAUCUAGCCAUGGGCAGGUUGAAGGUUGGGUAACACUAACUGGAGGACCGAACCGACUAAUGUUGAAAAAUUAGCGGAUGACUUGUGGCUGGGGGUGAAAGGCCAAUCAAACCGGGAGAUAGCUGGUUCUCCCCGAAAGCUAUUUAGGUAGCGCCUCGUGAACUCAUCUUCGGGGGUAGAGCACUGUUUCGGCUAGGGGGUCAUCCCGACUUACCAACCCGAUGCAAACUGCGAAUACCGAAGAAUGUUAUCACGGGAGACACACGGCGGGUGCUAACGUCCGUCGUGAAGAGGGAAACAACCCAGACCGCCAGCUAAGGUCCCAAAGUCACAGUUAAGUGGGAAACGAUGUGGGAAGGCUCAGACAGCCAGGAUGUUGGCUUAGAAGCAGCCAUCAUUUAAAGAAAGCGUAAUAGCUCACUGGUCGAGUCGGCCUGCGCGGAAGAUGUAACGGGGCUAAACUGUGCACCGAAGCUGCGGCAGCGACGCUUAUGCGUUGUUGGGUAGGGGAGCGUUCUGUAAGCCUGCGAAGGUGUCCUGUGAGGGAUGCUGGAGGUAUCAGAAGUGCGAAUGCUGACAUAAGUAACGAUAAUGCGGGUGAAAAGCCCGCUCGCCGGAAGACCAAGGGUUCCUGUCCAACGUUAAUCGGGGCAGGGUGAGUCGACCCCUAAGGCGAGGCCGAAAGGCGUAGUCGAUGGGAAACGGGUUAAUAUUCCCGUACUUGGUGUUACUGCGAAGGGGGGACGGAGAAGGCUAUGUUGGCCGGGCGACGGUUGUCCCGGUUUAAGCGUGUAGGCUGGUUUUCCAGGCAAAUCCGGAAAAUCAAGGCUGAG
rnacentral:rRNA from 1 species